AUUGAACGCUGGCGGCAUGCCUUACACAUGCGAGUCGAACGGCAGCACGGGUGCUUGCACCUGGUGGCGAGUGGCGAACGGGUGAGUAAUACAUCGGAACAUGUCCUGUAGUGGGGGAUAGCCCGGCGAAAGCCGGAUUAAUACCGCAUACGAUCUACGGAUGAAAGCGGGGGCCCUUCGGGCCUCGCGCUAUAGGGUUGGCCGAUGGCUGAUUAGCUAGUUGGUGGGGUAAAGGCCUACCAAGGCGACGAUCAGUAGCUGGUCUGAGAGGACGACCAGCCACACUGGGACUGAGACACGGCCCAGACUCCUACGGGAGGCAGCAGUGGGGAAUUUUGGACAAUGGGCGAAAGCCUGAUCCAGCAAUGCCGCGUGUGUGAAGAAGGCCUUCGGGUUGUAAAGCACUUUUGUCCGGAAAGAAAUCCUUGGCCCUAAUACGGUCGGGGGAUGACGGUACCGGAAGAAUAAGCACCGGCUAACUACGCG
rnacentral:rRNA from 1 species